GAUGAACGCUAGCGGCAGGCCUAACACAUGCAAGUCGAGGGAGAAGCCCUUUCGGGGGCAGAAACCGGCGCACGGGUGCGUAACGCGUAUGCAACCUACCUUUCACAGGGGGAUAGCCCUAAGAAAUUUGGAUUAAUACCCCAUAAUAUUAUUGGAUGGCAUCAUUUGAUAAUUAAAACUGCGGUGGUGAAAGAUGGGCAUGCGUCCUAUUAGCUAGUUGGAGUGGUAACGGCACCCCAAGGCUACGAUAGGUAGGGGUCCUGAGAGGGAGAUCCCCCACACUGGUACUGAGACAGGGACCAGACUCCUACGGGAGGCAGCAGUGAGGAAUAUUGAUCAAUGGUCGGAAGACUGAACCAGCCAUGCCGCGUGCAGGAAGAAUGCCUUAUGGGUUGUAAACUGCUUUUAUAUGGGAAGAAUAAGGCGUACGUGUACGUUGAUGACGGUACCAUAUGAAUAAGCAUCGGCUAACUCCGUG
rnacentral:rRNA from 1 species